rnacentral:rRNA from 1 species
UACGUAGGGGGCGAGCGUUGUCCGGAUUUAUUGGGCGUAAAGCGUGCGUAGGCGGCUGUUUAAGUCUGGUGUUAAAGCUAGGGGCUCAACCCCUGUGAUGCACUGGAAACUGGGCAGCUUGAGUGCGGUAGGGGAAGGUGGAAUUCCGAGUGUAGCGGUGAAAUGCGUAGAUAUUCGGAAGAACACCGGUGGCGAAGGCGACCUUCUGGGCCGCAACUGACGCUGAGGCACGAAAGCCUGGGGAGCGAACGGG